CCUACGGGAGGCUGCAGUGGGGAAUAUUGGACAAUGGGCGAAAGCCUGAUCCAGCCAUGCCGCGUGUGUGAAGAAGGCCUUCGGGUUGUAAAGCACUUUCAGUGGGGAAGAAAGCCUUGGGGCUAAUACCCUCGAGGAAGGACAUCACCCACAGCAGAAGCACCGGCUAACUCCGUGCCAGCAGCCGCGGUAAUACGGAGGGUGCGAGCGUUAAUCGGAAUUACUGGGCGUAAAGCGCGCGUAGGCGGUCUGAUAAGCCGGUUGUGAAAGCCCCGGGCUCAACCUGGGAACGGCAUCCGGAACUGUCAGGCUAGAGUGCAGGAGAGGAAGGUAGAAUUCCCGGUGUAGCGGUGAAAUGCGUAGAGAUAGGGAGGAAUACCAGUGGCGAAGGCGGCCUUCUGGACUGACACUGACGCUGAGGUGCGAAAGCGUGGGUAGCAAACAGGAUUAGAUACCCGUGUAGUC
rnacentral:rRNA from 1 species